rnacentral:rRNA from 1 species
AUUGAACGCUGGCGGCAUGCCUUACACAUGCAAGUCGAACGGUAACAGGUCUUCGGAUGCUGACGAGUGGCGAACGGGUGAGUAAUACAUCGGAACGUGCCUAGUAGUGGGGGAUAACUACUCGAAAGAGUGGCUAAUACCGCAUGAGAUCUACGGAUGAAAGCAGGGGAUCGCAAGGCCUUGUGCUACUAGAGCGGCCGAUGGCAGAUUAGGUAGUUGGUGGGAUAAAAGCUUACCAAGCCGACGAUCUGUAGCUGGUCUGAGAGGACGAUCAGCCACACUGGGACUGAGACACGGCCCAGACUCCUACGGGAGGCAGCAGUGGGGGAUUUUGGACAAUGGGCGCAAGCCUGAUCCAGCAAUGCCGCGUGCAGGAUGAAGGCCUUCGGGUUGUAAGCUGCUUUUGUACGGAACGAAAAGCCCUGGGUUAAUACCCUGGGGUCAUGACGGUACCGUAAGAAUAAGCACCGGCUAACUACGUGCCAGCCGCCGCUGUAAGAC